rnacentral:rRNA from 1 species
UACGUAGGGUGCAAGCGUUAAUCGGAAUUAUUGGGCGUAAAGGGCGCGUAGGCGGUUUGACAAGUCUGAUGUGAAAUCUAUGGGCUCAACCCAUAGCCUGCAUUAGAAACUGUCGGGCUUGAGUAUGGGAGAGGUGAGUGGAAUUUCCGGUGUAGCAGUGAAAUGCGUAGAUAUCGGGAGGAACAUCUGUGGCGAAGGCGACACCCUGGACCAGCACUGACACUGAGGCACGAAAGCGUGGGGAGCAAACAGG